rnacentral:rRNA from 1 species
GACGAACGCUGGCGGCGUGCUUAACACAUGCAAGUCGAACGGAAAGGCCCCUUUGGGGGUCCUCGAGUGGCGAACGGGUGAGUAACACGUGAGUAACCUGCCCUUGACUUCGGGAUAACUUCAGGAAACUGGGGCUAAUACCGGAUAGGAAUCCUUGCUGCAUGGUGGGGGUUGGAAAGCUUCGGCGGUUUUGGAUGGACUCGCGGCUUAUCAGCUUGUUGGUGGGGUAGUGGCUUACCAAGGCUUUGACGGGUAGCCGGCCUGAGAGGGCGACCGGCCACAUUGGGACUGAGAGACGGCCCAGACUCCUACGGGAGGCAGCAGUGGGGAAUAUUGCACAAUGGGCGGAAGCCGGAUGCAGCAACGCCGCGUGCGGGAGGACGGCCUUCGGGUUGGAAACCGCUUUCAGCAGGGGCGAAGCUUGUGGUGACGGUACCUGCAGAAGAAGCACCGGCUAACUACGUG